rnacentral:rRNA from 1 species
UGCAUGUCUAGCAUGCGAGUCAUUGUAGCAUACAAGGCAUACGGCUCAGUAACGCGUAGUCAACCUAACCUAUGGACGGAAAUAACCUCGGGAAACUGAGAAUAAUGUCCGAUAGAACACUAUACCUGGAAUGGUUUGUGUUCCAAAUGAUUUAUCGCCGUAGGAUGGGACUGCGGCCUAUCAGUUUGUUGGUGAGGUAAUGGCCCACCAAGACUAUUACAGGUACGGGCUCUGAGAGGAGUAGCCCGGAGAUGGGUACUGAGACACGGACCCAGGCCCUAUGGGGCGCAGCAGGCGAGAAAACUUUGCAAUGUGCGAAAGCACGACAAGGUUAAUCCGAGUGAUUUGUGCUAAACGAAUCUUUUGUUAGUCUUAGAACCACUAACGAAUAAGGGGUGGGCAAGUUCUGGUGUCAGCCGCCGCGGUAAAACCAGCACCUCAAGUGGUCAGGAUGAUUAUUGGGCCUAAAGCAUCCGUAGCCGGCUCUAUAAGUUUUCGGUUAAAUCUGUACGCUCAACGUACAGGCUGCCGGGAAUACUGCAGAGCUAGGGAGUGGGAGAGGUAGACGGUACUCGGAAGGAAGGGGUAAAAUCCUUUGAUCUUUUGAUGACCACCUGUGGCGAAAGCGGUCUACCAGAACACGUCCGACGGUGAGGGAUGAAAGCUGGGGGAGCAACCAGAUUAGAUACCCGGGUUAGUUCCAGCUGUAACUAUGCAACUCAUGAUGCAUUGACUGUGUCAAUGCAUGCCUGCAAGGCCAAGCCGUUAAAGGUUUUUGC